rnacentral:rRNA from 1 species
CACGGGGGGGAGCAAGCGUUGCUCGGAAUCACUGGGCGUAAAGGGCGUGUAGGCGGUCAAGUAAGUGGAAUGUGAAAGCCCCCGGCUCACCCGGGGAUCUGCAUCCCAAACUGCUUGGCUUGAGUACGGGAGAGGAUAGGGGAAUUCCUGGUGUAGCGGUGAAAUGCGUAGAUAUCAGGAGGAACGCCUGCGGUGUAGACGGCUUUCUGGACCAUUGCUGACGCUGAGACACGAAAGCGUGGGUAGCAAACAGG